GCGAGAUGGAUGCUUUAAUGUUUAUUUUUCUCAAGUGCCACUAGGGGGCGCUGCUCCGACCGGUCCUUCCUAUCGCUUCCAGACAAUACUUCCGGGGGUCGGAAGGAAGCGGAAGGGCAGGUAAACAAUCGGAGAUUAUAAAAGAGGAAGAAAAGGCCAGAGAGGGGGCUUCUUGUUGUUUUGGUGUCGGGUAUUUGGUGGUAAGAGUUGGAGAAGAACAGUGUAAGGUGGAGAGCUUGUUGAUUUCAAUGACUGUGUGAGGAAAAAACUGAGGGGUGGAAGCAAUUCGUGGACGUGGUGACCAGGCGAUCUCUCUAAGUAUUGUGUGCGAGGGGUCUGAAAUUCUCGAUGGAAAAAGUGGACCUGUGCAGAACGGCUUCGGUGUCCCUGGGAUUUCAAAAGACCUGCUUAAAGACUGCUUCACCAAUUGUUGGGAAGAUCAUUGUACUGGGCAAUACUACAGAAGAGGAAGAUACCAACAUAGAUGACCACAUCAUUCUGUCUAAAAGGACUUAUUAAAUUUGUUUAUUGGGAAGUUUAAUUCAAAUUAAAGUCCUCAAUGAAAAUUUGUGGCAGUGUUUUAAUUAAGAAACAGUUGCAAUGCAUCACCAUAUUUUUUUUAACAUUUUAAAGUAAAGUUAACUCAGGAUAACUAAAAAAGAUAACUAGGAAUAUUGGAUAAAAUAUAACUCUCAAAAUAGUAAUAUAUUUAAAUGUACGACUUAAGUAAAUUUUACAAACAAAAAGUCAAUAGAAUUUACUUAAAAUUUCCCAAUUAAAUUCAACUUAACAUUUCUAAUUAAAUGUACUAAUAAUUUUGGUUUAUCUUUUACUUGGCAAAGCUUUGAAGAUUUAUUAGCCUUUUCUGAGUGAAAAAGUUGCCUUGCAUGUAAAUCCUACUCCUCAUUUUUUACAGUGUACAAUAAAGUAUUUUAUACAUGAAACCUUCAGCAAUUAUCUAAACAAGUAAAUUUCUCAUCAAAUGUGAGAAUAAAAUGUCAACCAGAUGAGCUAAUUUCAAUACUGUGAUCAUCCAGAUGCAGUUUGUCCUUUGGUUGUAGAAAUGCUAAGUCACCAAAUAAACCUCUCAAAUCAA